GGUCGCGUGGCCCAAUGGCAAGGCGUCUGACUACGAAUCAGAAGAUUCUGGUUCGAUCCCCAGCGUGAUCA
rnacentral:tRNA from 3 species